rnacentral:rRNA from 1 species
AUUGAACGCUGGCGGCAGGCCUAACACAUGCAAGUCGAACGAGUGGCGGACGGGUGAGUAAUGUCUGGGAAACUGCCCGAUGGAGGGGGAUAACUACUGGAAACGGUAGCUAAUACCGCAUACCAUCGGAGGUGCCCAGAUGGGAUUAGCUAGUAGGUGGGGGAACGGCUCACCUAGGCGACGAGCCCUAGCAGGUCUGAGAGGAUGACCAGCCACACUGGACCUGUGACACGGUCCAGACUCCGACGGGAGGCAGCAGUGGGGAAUAUUGCACAAUGGGCGCAAGCCUUAUGCAGACAUGCCGCGUGUAUGAAGAAAGCCUUCGGGUUGUAAAGGACUUUCAGCGAGGAGGCGUUACUCGCAGAAGAAGCACCGGCUAACUCCGUGCCAGCAGCCGCGGUAAUAC